rnacentral:rRNA from 1 species
AACGAACGCUGGCGGCGUGCCUAACACAUGCAAGUCGAACGGAAUUAGAGAGCUUGCUCUUUGAUUUAGUGGCGCACGGGUGAGUAACGCGUAGAUAAUCUGCCUGACGAUCUGGGAUAACACUUCGAAAGAGGUGCUAAUACCGGAUAAGCCCACGGGUUCUUUGGAAUCUGCGGGAAAAGGGGGGGACCUUCGGGCCUUCUGUCGUCAGAUGAGUCUGCGUACCAUUAGCUAGUUGGUAGGGUAAAGGCCUACCAAGGCGACGAUGGUUAGCUGGUCUGAGAGGAUGAUCAGCCACACUGGAACUGAGACACGGUCCAGACUCCUACGGGAGGCAGCAGUGGGGAAUUUCGCGCAAUGGGCGAAAGCCUGACGCAGCAACGCCGCGUGAGUGAUGAAGGCUUUCGGGUCGUAAAGCUCUGUCAAUGGGAAAGAAGUGUAUUUUGGCUAAUAUCCUUAAUACUUGACGGUACUGAACGAGGAAGCCACGGCUAACUACGUGCCAGCCGCCGCAGUAAGAC